rnacentral:lncRNA from 1 species
AACAGGGACAGACACAGGAGCUCUAGAGGAGCACUGAGGAGGAGUUCAGCUUACACUGCCUCAGGCGCGGCGGUGGACCUGACGCUGCUGGCCAACCUGCGGCUCACGGACCCCCAGCGCUUCUUCCUGACUUGCGUGUCUGGGGAGGCCGGGGCGGGGAGGGGCUCGGACGCCUGGGGCCCGCCCCUGCUGCUGGAGAAGGACGACCGUAUCGUGCGCACCCCGCCCGGGCCACCCCUGCGCCUGGCGCGCAACGGUUCGCACCAGGUCACGCUUCGCGGCUUCUCCAAGCCCUCGGACCUCGUGGGCGUCUUCUCCUGCGUGGGCGGUGCUGGGGCGCGGCGCACGCGCGUCAUCUACGUGCACAACAGCCCUGGAGGUGAGUUAGGCAGGCGGGGGGAUGGCGCGGGGAAAACCAGGCCGCUGACCCACCUUCCACCCCGCAGCCCACCUGCUUCCAGACAAGGUCACACACACUGUGAACAAAGGUGACACCGCUGUACUUUCUGCACGUGUGCACAAGGAGAAGCAGACAGACGUGAUCUGGAAGAGCAACGGAUCCUACUUCUACACCCUGGACUGGCAUGAAGCCCAGGAUGGGCGGUUCCUGCUGCAGCUCCCAAAUGUGCAGCCACCAUCGAGCGGCAUCUACAGUGCCACUUACCUGGAAGCCAGCCCCCUGGGCAGCGCCUUCUUUCGGCUCAUCGUGC